rnacentral:rRNA from 1 species
AUUGAACGCUGGCGGCAUGCCUUACACAUGCAAGUCGAGCGCGAAAGGGGGCAACCCCGAGUAGAGCGGCGGACGGGUGAGUAACACAUCGGAACGUGCCCAGUAGUGGGGGACAACCUCGAGAAAUCGAGGCUAAUACCGCAUACGACCCACGGGUGAAAGCGGGGGACCGCAAGGCCUCGCGCUAUUGGAGCGGCCGAUGUCCGAUUAGCUAGUUGGCGGGGUAANAGCCCACCAAGGCGACGAUCGGUAGCUGGUCUGAGAGGACGACCAGCCACACUGGGACUGAGACACGGCCCAGACUCCUACGGGAGGCAGCAGUGGGGAAUUUUGGACAAUGGGGGCAACCCUGAUCCA